GCCAGCAUGGCAUAGUGGUUUGAGUGUUGGACUAUGACUCUGGAGAUGAGGGUUUGAUUCCCCACUGGGCA
rnacentral:tRNA from 1 species